rnacentral:rRNA from 1 species
UACGUAGGGGGCGAGCGUUGUCCGGAAUUAUUGGGCGUAAAGAGCGUGUAGGCGGCUGGGUAGGUCCGUUGUGAAAACUCGAGGCUCAACCUCGAGACGCCGAUGGAAACCCCCCAGCUAGAGUCCGGAAGAGGAGAGUGGAAUUCCCGGUGUAGCGGUGAAAUGCGCAGAUAUCGGGAAGAACACCCGUGGCUAAGGCGGCUCUCUAGUACGGUACUGACGCUGAGACGCGAAAGCGUGGGGAGCGAACGAGG